CUAAUCCCAUGUCCAAAACACAUUUUGGAUGAAUUUUAUGCCAUAUGGGGUGCCCCUUUAAUAAAAAAUGAAGGAGCACCACAUAAGACAGCAAGGGGCACCAACACUUGGCAUCCCAACUCUCUUACACACUCCAUAUUAUUUUUUGCAUGUAAUCCUUGUUAGGAAAUAUAUCCUAAAGCCAAUCAUCUAGGUUGUAGAUGAUUGUACUCCAUAAAGUAU
rnacentral:lncRNA from 1 species